GCUCUGUGCUGUCACUGAAGGUCGCCUCUGCACAUUGCAGUCAGAAAAUGGAGAUAAUUUCUCUAGGAUAUAUUUCUCUAAGGUGGUCAAAAUCCUGGUUUUCUGGAGAGCAGGAGUUGCUGAUACUCAUGUGAAAAUGUUAACAUCCUGAUGAUAACAGCUCUGCCAAAGCCAUUCACCAUAUUUUGCCUAAGUCUGGCAAGAAUGGGGGAACUGAAAAGCAAAUUGCUAAUCUUAGUGAGGGGAACAGGUUUUUUUGGUUACCCAAAGGUCGUGGUAAAACAGAAAUAAAGAAUUAAGGACUAAAGGGAAGCUGUACCCUGAAGGAUGUAAGCAGAUGCUGUUGCCCUGGUGAUUGCUCGUUGGAGUCUGGAUUGCACUGGGCCUGCAUUCCUGACUUCUCCUUAGGCCCUUGCAUUUCUGUAGACAGCUCAUAUGGACAAAGGCCACAAAUUAAAUGCAAAGAAAUGA